GGCAGUGGCUUCGUGACCGAAAGGCCCCGAACCCACCCCGAGGCCCCACAGCUUUUUCUCCAGCUCAGACACUUUCUGGGGCUCAGUCUUGCUGCAGCGCUUGUGGCAUUUGGCAGGCAGUGGGUGGACCAUGAGUGAGUUAGGAGGCCGAACUGCCCACCUCUACAAUGGGUUCCCAGGAGAGCGAACACGGGACCCGCUCCUCCAGGCCUCAGCCCCACUCUGGAAUGAGCAAGGUACGGUGAGA
rnacentral:lncRNA from 1 species